rnacentral:misc_RNA from 1 species
AAGUCUCUCGACUCUCCCCUCUCUGUGAGGGGUUGGUCGGAUUUUGGAUGUUGCCGUCCUGUCGCAGUGACGGCUCGUCUCGAAAUGUAUUAGCCUGUUUCCCAUCUCGGUUCCACAGACGAAAUGGCGUGAUAAAAGAAAACUCGCUUGCGUUCGGGACCUUGGGGAAGAGUGGGGCUUACAGUCGUCUCCUCGUGAGACAAAAUGAUACCUCUCG